rnacentral:rRNA from 1 species
CCUACGGUGAGCAGCAGUGAGGAAUAUUGGUCAAUGGGCGGAAGCCUGAACCAGCCAAGUAGCGUGCGGGAUGAAGGCCCUACGGGUCGUAAACCGCUUUUGCACGGGGAUAACACCCUCCACUUGUGGAGGUCUGCAGGUACCGUGCGAAUAAGGGCCGGCUAAUUCCGUGCCAGCAGCCGCGGUAAUACGGAAGGCCCGAGCGUUAUCCGGAUUCAUUGGGCUUAAAGGGAGCGUAGGCGGGCGUUCAAGUCAGCGGUAAAAUCGCGCGGCUCAACCGCGCCCCGCAGUUGAAACUGGACGCCUUGAGUUCACAACAGGCAGGCGGAAUUCGUGGUGUAGCGGUGAAAUGCAUAGAUAGCACGAGGAACCCCGAUUGCGAAGGCAGCCUGCCGGGGUGCGACUGACGCUGAGGCUCGAAGGUGCGGGUAUCAAACAGGAUUAGAUACCCUAGUAGUC